CCCACGUCUGGAGUACGCCUUGUGACCGCUCGUCACUGGAGAAAAAGGCCUUUCUUUUUCUUCUGGCCUUUUUUUCCCCUCCCCCACGUAGACCUCUCGGUAUUCACUUACGAAUUCAUUUCUUUCCCUUGCCUGAAUAAAACCCCACUUUUCGCUCUUGUACUGAAAGGUUGCAGAAGAGCCCUCUAGGCUUCUCGGCAUCUCACACGUUUCCGGAUGCCAGAGACCAUUUUCUUUGCGACGCCUACUGUGAGGGCUUCCCUGAACGUUCUUGGCGACCCCGACUUACAUGAAUCAAUGGGCUCCUUGGAAAGGCUUCAAAAACGCGGCUGACAGUGAAAUUUCACCCUUAAUGAGCUGAGGCCGACCUGGUCGAGGGACUUCACUUCUUCGGAGUUACUAUAAUUCAGUUCAUAAUAAUGAAGUUCCAGGUAUAUUCAACCCAUCAAGAAAGCAUUGCCCGAUUGGAUUUCAAAGGAUUCUACACCUCAGUUAUAAAAUUUUUCCUGAGCAGAGAUCCUGAUGCGGGGCUUGAUCCCAGAACCCUGAGACCAUGACCUGAGCCAAAGGCAGAGGCUUAACCCACUGAGCCACCCAGCAGCCCAAGGCCUUCAUUUAAAACUCAG
rnacentral:lncRNA from 1 species